rnacentral:rRNA from 1 species
CAUGCAGGCGGUUAGACAAGUCAGGUGUGAAAUCCCCGCGCUUAACGUGGGCAUUGCAUUUGAAACUAUGUAGCUAGAGUUCUGUAGAGGGGGGUAGAAUUCCAGGUGUAGCGGUGAAAUGCGUAGAGAUCUGGAGGAAUACCGAUGGCGAAGGCAGCCCCCUGGGAUAAUACUGACGCUCAGGCACGAAAGCGUGGGGAGCAAACAGGAUUGGAUACCCUCGUA